rnacentral:rRNA from 1 species
GACGAACGCUGGCGGCGUGCUUAACACAUGCAAGUCGAACGGUGAAGGACGGAGCUUGCUCUGUCUGGAUCAGUGGCGAACGGGUGAGUAACACGUGAGUAACCUGCCCCAGACUCUGGAAUAAGCGCUGGAAACGGCGUCUAAUACCGGAUACGAGACGGAGUGGCAUCUCUACCGUCUGGAAAGUUUUUCGGUCUGGGAUGGACUCGCGGCCUAUCAGCUUGUUGGUGAGGUAAUGGCUCACCAAGGCAACGACGGGUAGCCGGCCUGAGAGGGCGACCGGCCACACUGGGACUGAGACACGGCCCAGACUCCUACGGGAGGCAGCAGUGGGGAAUAUUGCACAAUGGGCGAAAGCCUGAUGCAGCGACGCCGCGUGAGGGAUGACGGCCUUCGGGUUGUAAACCUCUUUCAGCAGGGAAGAAGCGAAAGUGACGGUACCUGCAGAAGAAGCACCGGCUAACUACGUGCCAGCAGCCGCCGUAAGAC